GAUGAACGCUAGCUACAGGCUUAACACAUGCAAGUCGAGGGGAAACGAUGAGAGAGCUUGCUCUCUUAGUCGUCGACCGGCGCACGGGUGAGUAACGCGUAUCCAACCUGCCUCUGACCAAGGGAUAACCCGUCGAAAGUCGGACUAAUACCUUAUGCAGUCGUCGGAAGUCAUCUGAUGACGACGAAAGAUUUCAUCGGUGAGAGAUGGGGAUGCGUCUGAUUAGCUUGUUGGCGGGGUAACGGCCCACCAAGGCGACGAUCAGUAGGGGUUCUGAGAGGAAGGUCCCCCACAUUGGAACUGAGACACGGUCCAAACGCCUACGGGAGGCAGCAGUGAGGAAGAUUGGUCAAUGGGCGUAAGCCUGAACCAGCCAAGUAGCGUGCAGGAUGACGGCCCUAUGGGUUGUAAACUGCUUUUAUGCGGGGAUAAAGUGAGGGACGUGUCCUUCAUUGCAGGUACCGCAUGAAUAAGGACCGGCUAAUUCCGUG
rnacentral:rRNA from 1 species